rnacentral:rRNA from 1 species
GUCGAGCGGAAGGCCCUUCGGGGUACUCGAGCGGCGAACGGGUGAGUAACACGUGAGCAACCUGCCCCAGGCUUUGGGAUAACCCCGGGAAACCGGGGCUAAUACCGAAUAUGACCUCUGACCGCAUGGUUGGUGGUGGAAAGUUUUUCGGCUUGGGAUGGGCUCGCGGCCUAUCAGCUUGUUGGUGGGGUGAUGGCCUACCAAGGCGACGACGGGUAGCCGGCCUGAGAGGGCGACCGGCCACACUGGGACUGAGACACGGCCCAGACUCCUACGGGAGGCAGCAGUGGGGAAUAUUGCACAAUGGGCGGAAGCCUGAUGCAGCGACGCCGCGUGAGGGAUGACGGCCUUCGGGUUGUAAACCUCUUUCAGCAGGGACGAAGCGUAAGUGACGGUACCUGCAGAAGAAGCGCCGGCCAACUACGUGCCAGCAGCCGCGGUAAGACGUAGGGCGCGAGCGUUGUCCGGAUUUAUUGGGCGUAAAGAGCUCGUAGGCGGCUUGUCGCGUCGACCGUGAAAACUUGGGGCUCAACCCCAAGCCUGCGGUCGAUACGGGCAGGCUAGAGUUCGGUAGGGGAGACUGGAAUUCCUGGUGUAGCGGUGAAAUGCGCAGAUAUCAGGAGGAACACCGGUGGCGAAGGCGGGUCUCUGGGCCGAUACUGACGCUGAGGAGCGAAAGCGU